rnacentral:rRNA from 1 species
GAUGAACGCUGGCGGCGUGCCUAAUACAUGCAAGUCGAGCGAAUGGAUUAAGAGCUUGCUCUUAUGAAGUUAGCGGCGGACGGGUGAGUAACACGUGGGUAACCUGCCCAUAAGACUGGGAUAACUCCGGGAAACCGGGGCUAAUACCGGAUAACAUUUGAACCGCAUGGUUCGAAAUUGAAAGGCGGCUUCGGCUGUCACUUAUGGAUGGACCCGCGUCGCAUUAGCUAGUUGGUGAGGUAACGGCUCACCAAGGCAACGAUGCGUAGCGGACCUGAGAGGGUGGUCGGCCACACAGGGACUGAGACACGGCCCAGACUCCUACGGGAGGCAGCAGUAGGGAAUCUUCCGCAAUGGACGAAAGUCUGACGGAGCAACGCCGCGUGAGUGAUGAAGGCUUUCGGGUCGUAAAACUCUGUUGUUAGGGAAGAACAAGUGCUAGUUGAAUAAGCUGGCACCUUGACGGUACCUAACCAGAAAGCCACGGCUAACUACGUGCCAGCCGCCGCCGUAA